rnacentral:rRNA from 1 species
CGCAUCCUGGGGGUGGAGAAGCUCCCAAGGGUUAGGCUGUUCGCCUAUUAAAGCGGUACGCGAGCUGGGUUCAGAACGUCGGGUGACAGUUCGGUCUCCUAUCUACUGUGGUCGUUGAAUAUUGAAGGAGCUCAUCCCUAGUACGAGAGGACCGGGAUGAACGAACCUCUGGUGUACCGGUUGUCCUGCCAAGGGCAUCGCCGGGUAGCUAGGUUCGGCAUAGAUAAGCGCUGAAAGCAUCUAAGCGCGAAGCUAUUCCUAAGAUUAAUAUUCGUUAUCAGAUUCCUUCGAGACGAGGAGGUUGAUAGGCACUAGGUGAAAUACUCGCAAGAGUUUGAGCCGAAGUGUACUAAUAAAUCGAGC